UUUAUCUGAUCAAAGAUUGUAAUUUACCACAUUUGCAUGUAUUUCAUUCACAAAGAACAGACCUAAAUUUGUUUUGAAUCUAAUCAAAUGUCAAUGGUGCCUGAAACACUCUUAGACAGAUUAAAUAGCAAUACUCUAUGAAGAAUGUAAGAAACUGCAAGUAUUUUCCCCCAUGACACUAAACAUGCUUAAAAAGAGAAGAAAAGAAACAGAAAGAAAAAAAACCAACAGCAUAAAAACAAGAACCCAAAGAACUCAUGUGGAAAAUAGAGCCUGUAACUCACCCAUCAAUCCAAAGAGGAAGAAUGUGUUUCUUGAUCAGAUCCAAUAUUGCUUCAAGCCAUGUCCAAAAGAUGAGAGAGUCUUCUGUAUGGUCAGCCACAAAUAAGAUUGUUUGUACCAGAAACUGGGUCAACAAUAGCGGAACAGAAGACUUUGUCUCAGAUUACUGGAAAGCAAAAGGUGUGAAAGCCAAGAAAGAUGUUCAAAGAAGAGCAGGAGGGGAAGCAUUGAGAAUCUAGAGCAGCACGGUGGGAAGGCCUGUGGCAAACAUGGAUGAAGCUGGGCAGCAAGAAAAGGAACCAAUUCAAAGGAUUUCAGAAGGACCAUCUCAGGCCAACCCUACUCCUCCAAUCCUGGUGUCUACAGUGUCCUUAUCACUGAAAUGACUUGUGAAGACACUGGAACUUUCUGAGUAUAUAUGAGUCAAGGAGGAAAGAAG